AUUGAACGCUGGCGGCAGGCCUAACACAUGCAAGUCGAGCGGAUGAAGGGAGCUUGCUCCUGGAUUCAGCGGCGGACGGGUGAGUAAUGCCUAGGAAUCUGCCUGGUAGUGGGGGAUAACGUCCGGAAACGGGCGCUAAUACCGCAUACGUCCUGAGGGAGAAAGUGGGGGAUCUUCGGACCUCACGCUAUCAGAUGAGCCUAGGUCGGAUUAGCUAGUUGGUGGGGUAAAGGCCUACCAAGGCGACGAUCCGUAACUGGUCUGAGAGGAUGAUCAGUCACACUGGAACUGAGACACGGUCCAGACUCCUACGGGAGGCAGCAGUGGGGAAUAUUGGACAAAGGGCGAAAGCCUGAUCCAGCCAUGCCGCGUGUGUGAAGAAGGUCUUCGGAUUGUAAAGCACUUUAAGUUGGGAGGAAGGGCAGUAAGUUAAUCCCUUGCUGUUUUGACGUUACCAACAGAAUAAGCACCGGCUAACUUCGUG
rnacentral:rRNA from 1 species